rnacentral:sRNA from 1 species
AUAAUAAUAAUUAGGGCGACCCAUUAGGAUCGCCCAUUUGUCCUUAACUUAACACUUUCAGGUUUGGCCGCCGAUCCGUUAAGUCUAAGAGCAGUUCUGGCGUUACGCAUAGCUGGCUGUUAGCUUGAUUCCUUACUAAAAAACUCACUAACAGUUUUUGUAACCAAAACCCGAGCAUCGCUUGGGUUUUUUUAU